rnacentral:rRNA from 1 species
AGUGAACGCUGGCGGUAGGCCUAACACAUGCAAGUCGAACGGCAGCACAGUAAGAGCUUGCUCUUACGGGUGGCGAGUGGCGGACGGGUGAGGAAUACAUCGGAAUCUACUUUUUCGUGGGGGAUAACGUAGGUAAACUUACGCUAAUACCGCAUACGACCUACGGGUGAAAGCAGUGGAUCUUCGGACCUUGCGCGAUUGAAUGCGCCGAUGUCGGAUUAGCUAGUUGGCGGGGUAAAGGCCCACCAAGGCGACGAUCCGUAGCUGGUCUGAGAGGAUGAUCAGCCACACUGGAACUGAGACACGGUCCAGACUCCUACGGGAGGCAGCAGUGGGGAAUGUUGGACAAUGGGCGCAAGCCUGAUCCAGCCAUACCGCGUGGGUGAAGAAGGCCUUCGGGUUGUAAAGCCCUUUUGUUGGGAAAGAAAAGCAGCAGGUUAAUACCCCGCUGUUCUGACGGUACCCAAAGAAUAAGCACCGGCUAACUUCGUG